GACGAACGCUGGCGGCGUGCUUAACACAUGCAAGUCGAGCGGUAAGGCCCUUUCGGGGGUACACGAGCGGCGAACGGGUGAGUAACACGUGGGUGACCUGCCUCUAGCUCUGGGAUAAGCCCGGGAAACUGGGUCUAAUACUGGAUAUGACUCCAUGACGCAUGUUGUGGGGUGAAAGCCUUGUGCGGCUAGAGAUGGGCCCGCGGCCUAUCAGCUUGUUGGUGGGGUGAUGGCCUACCAAGGCGACGACGGGUAGCCGGCCUGAGAGGGCGACCGGCCACACUGGGACUGAGACACGGCCCAGACUCCUACGGGAGGCAGCAGUGGGGAAUCUUGCGCAAUGGGCGAAAGCCUGACGCAGCGACGCCGCGUGAGGGAUGACGGCCU
rnacentral:rRNA from 1 species